GACGAACGCUGGCGGCGUGCCUAAUACAUGCAAGUCGAGCGCAGCGGCGGAUGGGUGAGUAAUGCGUGGGUAACCUGCCCUUAAGUCUGGGCUACUCUUUGGAAACACAUGCUAAUACCGAAUACUAAAGGAUGGACCUGCGAUGCAUUAGCUAGUUGGUAAGGUACCGGCUUACCAAGGCGAUGAUGCAUAGCCGAGUUGAGAGGAUGAUCGGCCACAGUGGGACUGAGACACGGCCCAAACUCCUACGGGAGGCAGCAGUAGGGAAUCUUCCACAAUGGACGAAAGUCUGAUGGAGCAACGCCGCGUGAGUGAAGAAGGUUUUCGGAUCGUAAAGCUCUGUUGUUGGUGAAGCGGUAAUCAACCAGAAAGUCACGGCUAACUACGUGCCAGCAGCCGCGGUAAUAC
rnacentral:rRNA from 1 species